GGCAGUGACAGGCCCCUGGGCAGGUGUAAGCAGGUGGCAGACAGGUCUGGGGGCAGAUGUGAGCCGGUAUGAGAAGGUGGCAGCAACAGGCCUGGGGGCAGGUGUGAGCAGGUGGCAGAUAGACCUGUGGGCAGGGGUGAGCAGGUGUGAGCAGGUGGCAGACAGGCCUGGGGCAGGUGUGAGCAGGUGGC